GACGAACGCUGGCGGCGUGCUUAACACAUGCAAGUCGAACGGUAAGGCCCUUCGGGGUACACGAGUGGCGAACGGGUGAGUAACACGUGGGUGGAUCUGCCCUGCACUUCGGGAUAAGCCUGGGAAACUGGGUCUAAUACCGGAUAGGACCAUGGACUUCACGGUUUGUGGUGGAAAGCUUUUGCGGUGUGGGGAUGGGCCCGCGGCCUAUCAGCUUGUUGGUGGGGUAAUGGCCUACCAAGGCGACGACGGGUAGCCGGCCUGAGAGGGUGUCCGGCCACACUGGGACUGAGAUACGGCCCAGACUCCUAACGGGAGGCAGCAGUGGGGAAUAUUGCACAAUGGGCGCAAGCCUGAUGCAGCGACGCCGCGUGAGGGAUGACGGCCUCGGUUGUAA
rnacentral:rRNA from 1 species